UUUAGGGGAGCCGUAGCGAAAGCGAGUCUUAACUGGGCGCUUAAGUUGCAGGGUAUAGACCCGAAACCCGGUGAUCUAGCCAUGGGCAGGUUGAAGGUUGAGUAACAUCAACUGGAGGACCGAACCCACUAACGUUGAAAAGUUAGGGGAUGACCUGUGGCUAGGAGUGAAAGGCUAAUCAAACCGGGAGAUAGCUGGUUCUCCCCGAAAUCUAUUUAGGUAGAGCCUCGGACGAAUACUUACGGGGGUAGAGCACUGUUAAGGCUAGGGGGUCAUCCCGACUUACCAACCCUUUGCAAACUCCGAAUACCGUAAAGUACUAUCCGGGAGACACACGGCGGGUGCUAACGUCCGUCGUGGAGAGGGAAACAACCCAGACCGUCAGCUAAGGUCCCAAAGUGUAUGUUAAGUGGGAAACGAUGUGGGAAGGCUAAAACAGCUAGGAGGUUGGCUUAGAAGCAGCCACCCUUUAAAGAAAGCGUAAUAGCUCACUAGUCGAGUCGGCCUGCGCGGAAGAUGUAACGGGGCUAAACAUACCACCGAAGCUACGGCUGCGUACGUAAGUAUGCGGGGUAGGGGAGCGUUCUGUAAGUGGCUGAAGGUGUGCCGGGAGGCAUGCUGGACAUAUCAGAAGUGCGAAUGCUGACAUGAGUAACGACAAGAGGAGUGAAAAACUCCUCCGCCGGAAGACCAAGGGUUCCUAUCCCAUGUUAAUCAGGGUAGGGUGAGUCGACCCCUAAGGCGAGGCUGAAGAGCGUAGUCGAUGGGAAACGGGUUAAUAUUCCCGUACUUGGUAUGAAUGCGAUGGGGGGACGGAGCAGGCUAGGCAAGCAUGGCGUUGGUUGUCCAUGUGAAAGGCUGUAGGCUGGUGACUUAGGAAAAUCCGGGUUGCUAAGGCUGAGAGUCGAGACGAGCCACUAAGGUGGUGAAGUUGUUGAUGCCCUACUUCCAGGAAAAGCCUCUAAGCUUCAGUUCAUACUGAAUCGUACCCUAAACCGACACAGGUGGUCAGGUAGAGAAUACUAAGGCGCUUGAGAGAACUCGGGUGAAGGAACUAGGCAAAAUUGUACCGUAACUUCGGGAGAAGGUACGCUCUUGUUUGUGAAAGACUUGCUCUGUAAGCAAACGAGAGCCGCAGUGACCAGGUGGCUGGGACUGUUUAUUAAAAACACAGCACUGUGCAAAAUCGUAAGAUGACGUAUACGGUGUGACACCUGCCCGGUGCCGGAAGGUUAAUUGAUGGGGUUAGCUUAGGCGAAGCUCUUGAUCGAAGCCCCGGUAAACGGCGGCCGUAACUAUAACGGUCCUAAGGUAGCGAAAUUCCUUGUCGGGUAAGUUCCGACCUGCACGAAUGGUGUAACCAUGGCCACGCUGUCUCCACCCGAGACUCAGUGAAAUUGAAAUCGCAGUGAAGAUGCUGUGUACCCGCGGCUAGACGGAAAGACCCCGUGAACCUUUACUACAGCUUGGCACUGAACAUUGACCCUACAUGUGUAGGAUAGGUGGGAGGCUUUGAAGCAGGAACGCUAGUUUCUGUGGAGCCGACCUUGAAAUACCACCCUUGUAGUGUUGAUGUUCUAACUUAGGCCCCUGAACCGGGGUUGAGGACAGUGCCUGGUGGGUAGUUUGACUGGGGCGGUCUCCUCCCAAAGAGUAACGGAGGAGCACGAAGGUUUGCUAAGUACGGUCGGACAUCGUACGGUUAGUGUAAUGGUAGAAGCAAGCUUAACUGCGAGACAGACACGUCGAGCAGGUACGAAAGUAGGUCAUAGUGAUCCGGUGGUUCUGAAUGGAAGGGCCAUCGCUCAACGGAUAAAAGGUACUCCGGGGAUAACAGGCUGAUACCGCCCAAGAGUUCAUAUCGACGGCGGUGUUUGGCACCUCGAUGUCGGCUCAUCACAUCCUGGGGCUGAAGUCGGUCCCAAGGGUAUGGCUGUUCGCCAUUUAAAGUGGUACGCGAGCUGGGUUUAGAACGUCGUGAGACAGUUCGGUCCCUAUCUGCCGUGGGCGUUUGAGAAUUGAGAGGGGCUGCUCCUAGUACGAGAGGACCGGAGUGGACGAACCGCUGGUGUUCGGGUUGUGAUGCCAAUUGCAUUGCCCGGUAGCUACGUUCGGAACUGAUAACCGCUGAAAGCAUCUAAGCGGGAAGCAGGCCUCGAGAUGAGUUCUCACUUUGACUUAGAGUCAACUGAAGGGCCGUUGAAGACUACAACGUUGAUAGGCGAGAUGUGGAAGUGCUGUGAGGCAUUAAGCUAACUCGUACUAAUUACCCG
rnacentral:rRNA from 1 species